CUUGGCCGAGCCCAGCCACAGCGGCCUGUCCCGGUCCUGGCCGUAGGUGGCCAGCACGGAGUGCGCCUC
rnacentral:antisense_RNA from 1 species